CACAGAGCAGUCUUCUGCCCAUGCUCUCAGCCUAGAGCAAGGCUCCCACAGGCAGCCUGAAAUACUCUGGUAACAAACUCUGGGGUAACCUCUCCGCAGUAAAUUAGUUUUAAUGCAGUUUGAUGACCAUAAGCAGUAAUUCUAACAUGUAGCAUCUCUGUGCGCACCAGCACUGCACCGAUGGGUGCCUUCGCUCUCCUUGCAGUCAGUACAUGUGGUGAGCUCCACCCAGCUGCUCUUGAAACGUCUUAUUUUUGCUGUGAUGCAUCAGGGAGUCAACCAUGUCUUCGGGAGUGCCCUUGGAAAUUUUCAAGACAAAAAUUAUUGACUCGAGAUGGAGAAGAACUAGGACAAGAAUGCCCUUGCUUCCAGCACCUCCUGUGACCACGCAUGCGACUGCAUUGUGCCCAGCUGCUGCUGUGCCCAGCCAUUCCACAGGCUCUGUCAUCUCCUUGGCAUCCCAUUGGAAGGGACUGUGGAAGGAAAGGGCCGUGUUUCAUGUGAGAGGUACAAUGAUCAGGGGUGACCACUGCUCAGAGAGGCCUGAAGUGUUCUGUGAUGUUUUGAAUCCCAUGCAACCAUACCAGAGGGGAUGAAUUUUUUGGUGAGUGUGAAUUUGCUAGUGUAAUUCCAUCCUGCCCAUGCUGCUGGACUGAAAAUGAAGGUCACAAAUAUUCUAUAGCAACUGCCAACGUCUGGUUGUUUUGUUAUCAAGAUUCCAACAGAUCUUCAUUUUUACAGGACUAGUGCAUUUUAUAGAACAGGAGACGUUUUUAAUGUAGUAUUUGCAAUAUAUUUUAGCAUUACAAUACUGCCUGACAGUGGUGACCUAAACAAAAGUACUACGUGGAAAAGUGCCAGCCAAUGCACUUUGAACAAAAGCUGUGUGUAUCAGCACGAGGCAGCAUGUAGUUCACAUCACCGGUGGGUAGUUUUACAUAUAGAUCACAUUAAGGCAGUCUGCAGAAUUGGAGAUGUUUAAAAUCCUGACGUAAGAAGGGAGAAAAUUACGUUAUUGAAACACUGAGUCACUGGUUUAAUAUCUUUAGAAAGCCUUUCCUAUAGAAGUAAAUUCUUUAUUCCUGUCCAUUUCUGUAAGACUCCCUGUUUAUUUAUAUAUCCCUUUUGAGUGGGUAGAGGUUUUCAGGUUUUGGUGUCAGGGUUUCUGAAAGAAGCUGUUUCCACAUCAUGCAUAACAGCAUGGUUAGAAGGACAAUUACUGCAAGUUCUUCAGUUUCUGGGUGUGAAGAUCCCCAAAAGCAGUAGAAACCACUAUUGCUCCCCAUGUGCAUUGUCACUUGAGAGUAGGGCUGUUUUUUGAUUUUGAUUUUUCCAGCCUAUCUGCACCAUCAUUCUUUACACCAUCAUUCUUUAGCCACCUACAUGGAGUUCCAAUCUCAAAUUGCGUGCUUGCAUGUAGUUUUUUCUUACUAUGAACAACUUCAGACGAAAUACUACUAAAUUGUUGAAUAAUUGCAUGCAAUUGUAGGACCAAUUAAUUGGGUGACUUUAAAUCCUUUGAGUGAUGAGUAUUGAGAUAUGGUACAAUAUGUUCCUCCUAUGAGAAUGCUCAGCAGUUCUUAAGUCAGAGGUUGCUGGCAAUAUAACAAAGCAUCUGACAAAAUCAGGUU
rnacentral:lncRNA from 7 species